rnacentral:rRNA from 1 species
CCUACGGGGUGCAGCAGUGGGGAAUAUUGGGCAAUGGGCGCAAGCCUGACCCAGCAACGCCGCGUGAAGGAAGAAGGCUCUCGGGUUGUAAACUUCUUUUGUCAGGGAAGAGUAGAAGACGAUACCUGACGAAUAAGCCAUGGCUAACUACGUGCCAGCAGCCGCGGUAAUACGUAGGUGGCAAGCGUUGUCCGGAGUUACUGGGUGUAAAGGGCGUGUAGCCGGGUUGACAAGUCAGAUGUGAAAUCCUGCGGCUUAACCGCAGAACUGCAUUUGAAACUGUUGCUCUUGAGUACUUGAGAGGCAGAUGGAAUUCCUGGUGUAGCGGUGAAAUGCGUAGAUAUUAGGAAGAACACCAGUGGCGAAGGCGGUCUGCUGGACAGCAACUGACGGUGAGGCGCGAAAGCGUGGGGAGCAAACAGGAUUAGAUACCCGAGUAGUC